GGGGACGUAGCUCAACUGGCAGAGCACCGCCUUUGCAAGGCGGGGGUUGGGAGUUCGAGUCUCCUCGUCUCCA
rnacentral:tRNA from 1 species